GGAAGUAAAAGUCGUAACAAGGUCUCCGUUGGUGAACCAGCGGAGGGAUCAUUACCGAGUUUACAACUCCCAAACCCCAAUGUGAACGUUACCAAUCUGUUGCCUCGGCGGGAUUCUCUUGCCCCGGGCGCGUCGCAGCCCCGGAUCCCAUGGCGCCCGCCGGAGGACCAACUCCAAACUCUUUUUUUCUCUCCGUCGCGGCUCCCGUCGCGGCUCUGUUUUAUUUUUGCUCUGAGCCUUUCUCGGCGACCCUAGCGGGCGUCUCGAAAAUGAAUCAAAACUUUCAACAACGGAUCUCUUGGUUCUGGCAUCGAUGAAGAACGCAGCGAAAUGCGAUAAGUAAUGUGAAUUGCAGAAUUCAGUGAAUCAUCGAAUCUUUGAACGCACAUUGCGCCCGCCAGUAUUCUGGCGGGCAUGCCUGUCCGAGCGUCAUUUCAACCCUCGAACCCCUCCGGGGGGUCGGCGUUGGGGAUCGGCCCCUCACCGGGCCGCCCCCGAAAUACAGUGGCGGUCUCGCCGCAGCCUCUCCUGCGCAGUAGUUUGCACACUCGCACCGGGAGCGCGGCGCGGCCACAGCCGUAAAACACCCCAAACUUCUGAAAUGUUGACCUCGGAUCAGGUAGGAAUACCCGCUGAACUUAAGCAUAUCAAUAAGCGGAGG
rnacentral:rRNA from 1 species